GACGAACGCUGGCGGCGUGCUUAACACAUGCAAGUCGAACGGAAAGGCCCUGCUUGCAGGGUACUCGAGUGGCGAACGGGUGAGUAACACGUGGGUGAUCUGCCCUGCACUUCGGGAUAAGCCUGGGAAACUGGGUCUAAUACCGGAUAGGAGCCAUUUUUAGUGUGAUGGUUGGAAAGUUUUUUCGGUGUGGGAUGAGCUCGCGGCCUAUCAGCUUGUUGGUGGGGUAAUGGCCUACCAAGGCGGCGACGGGUAGCCGGCCUGAGAGGGUGGACGGCCACAUUGGGACUGAGAUACGGCCCAGACGCCUACGGGAGGCAGCAGUGGGGAAUAUUGCACAAUGGGCGCAAGCCUGAUGCAGCGACGCCGCGGGGGGGAUGACGGCCUUCGGGUUGUAAACUCCUUUCGCUAGGGACGAAGCUUUUUGUGACGGUACCUAGAUAAGAAGCACCGGCUAACUACGUG
rnacentral:rRNA from 1 species